rnacentral:rRNA from 1 species
GAUGAACGCUGGCGGCGUGCCUAAUACAUGCAAGUCGAGCGAACGGACGAGAAGCUUGCUUCUCUGAUGUUAGCGGCGGACGGGUGAGUAACACGUGGAUAACCUACCUAUAAGACAGGGAUAACUUCGGGAAACCGGAGCUCAUACCGGAUAAUAUUUUGAACCGCAGGGUUCAAAAGUGAAAGACGGUCUUGCUGUCACUUAUAGAUGGAUCCGCGCUGCAUUAGCUAGUUGGUAAGGUAACGGCUUACCAAGGCAACGAUGCAUAGCCGGCCUGAGAGGAUGAUCGGCCACACUGGAACUGAGACACGGUCCAGACUCCUACGGGAGGCAGCAGUAGGGAAUCUUCCGCAAUGGGCGAAAGCCUGACGGAGCAACGCUGCGUGAGUGAUGAAGGUCUUCGGAUCGUAAAACUCUGUUAUUAGGGAAGAACAUAUGUGUAAGUAACUGUGCACAUCUUGACGGUACCUAAUCAGAAAGCCACGGCUAACUACGUG